rnacentral:rRNA from 1 species
UGAGGAAUAUUGGUCAAUGGACGCAAGUCUGAACCAGCCAAGUAGCGUGCAGGAUGACGGCCCUAUGGGUUGUAAACUGCUUUUAUAUGGGGAUAAAGUGGGGAACGUGUUCCCUUUUGCAGGUACCAUAUGAAUAAGGACCGGCUAAUUCCGUGCCAGCAGCCGCGGUAAUACGGAAGGUUCGGGCGUUAUCCGGAUUUAUUGGGUUUAAAGGGAGCGUAGGCCGUUUGGUAAGCGUGUUGUGAAAUGUAGGAGCUCAACUUCUAGAUUGCAGCGCGAACUGUCAGACUUGAGUGCACACAACGUAGGCGGAAUUCAUGGUGUAGCGGUGAAAUGCUUAGAUAUCAUGAAGAACUCCGAUUGCGAAGGCAGCUUACGGGAGCGCAACUGACGCUGAAGCUCGAAGGUGCGGGUAUCGAACAGG